rnacentral:rRNA from 1 species
CUAAGAAUCUUGCGCAAUGGGCGAAAGCCUGACGCAGCAAUUCCGCGUGGGGGACGAAGGCCCUCGGGUCGUAAACCCCUUUUGUGAGGGAAGAAGUUCUGACGGUACCUCACAAAUAAGACACGGCUAACUACGUGCCAGCAGCCGCGGUAAUACGUAGGUGUCGAGCGUUGUCCGGAUUUAUUGGGCGUAAAGAGCCCGCAGGCGGCUUGGUAAGUUCGAGGUGAAAUCUCCCGGCUCAACUGGGAGGGUGCCUCGAAAACUAUCAGGCUUGAGGCAGGGAGAGGGAUGUGGAAUUCCCGGUGUAGUGGUGAAAUGCGGAGAUAGCGGGAGGAACACCAGUGGCGAAGGCGGCAUCCUGUCCCUGUCCUGACGCUCAGGGGCGAAAGCGUGGGGAGCAAACC